CUGGUAACUGCCAUGCGAAUCGCAUGGCCGUGCCAUACAAAAUUUCAAGUGUAAAUAAAAUGUUGUGAUAGAACAAAAAUACAAUAUAUACAUUUUAUUAAUAUAUUCCUGCAAAAAUGGUGCUAUUUGGAUCCUUGCGGGAUCCGGAAUAUUUCUGUUUUUGUUAUGAUUUAAAAAAAGGCUGUAUAUUGAUAGGAUUUCUGUAUGUGUUUGUGUUCUUUUUCCUGUGUGCACAACUCCUUUGGCACCCUUGUUACACAAAUAUCUUGAGUCCAAGUUGCCGUGCCUCCGUGUACAUCGGCUGGCCAAUGAUCUGUGUUAUAAACAUAUUCAACAUUUUAGGAUGUCUGACGGCAAUUGGGUUUUUGUUCGGAAUUUUCUGUGAAAUACGUCAAUUCGUAACGAAUUUCCUUUAUAUAUUAUGUAUUAGUGGUAUGUUUGUACCACUAGUAUUCAAUGCGGCUGUGAUAUAUCUAUCCUGUUACUAUUCAAGUACAUAUCCGUCGUGCUUUUUCGCGCCAAAUUUGGGAAAUUGUAUGAUAAUGUCGGUCGCUUUUGUCACAAUUACAGCAUAUUGUAUUACAGUAAUAAAAAGUUAUCGCGCAGGAAUGAACUUCACUCUAUCUAGUCACGCGGGCAAGGAAGGUAAGACAACGCAACGCAGAUGUGCUGAUCUGAGCUGAUUUCGCGAAAUAAAAUUCUUCUUUCAUGAAUGAUUGAUGUUGAUGUUGAUAAUAUGUGUUUAGUAGAAGUUGUAGUUGAUUGUUUUUUUUAAAUUGUGUAAUCUCAACAAAUGAUAAUGUCUAUGUUAAUUUUAACAUGUAAGCAAAAAAAAUAUACAUUCUAA